rnacentral:tmRNA from 3 species
GGGGGUGUAAAGGUUUCGACUUAGAAAUGAAGCGUUAAUUGCAUGCGGAGGGCGUUGGCUGGCCUCCUAAAAAGCCGACAAAACAAUAAAUGCCGAACCUAAGGCUGAAUGCGAAAUUAUCAGCUUCGCUGAUCUUAAUGAUCUAAGAGUUGCUGCUUAAUUAGCAAAGUUGUUACCUAAGUACUGGUAACCCGGUGUUCGCGAGCUCCACCAGAGGUUUUCGAAACGCCGUCAUUUAUCUGGUUAGAAUUAGGGCCUUUUAACUCUCAAGGGAACUAAUUUGAAUUUUAAUGAGAGUCGUUGGUCUCUAUAGAGGUUUCUAGCUGAGGAGAUAUAACGUAAAAUAUUCUAGAAACUAAGCAUGUAGAGGUUAGCGGGGAGUUUACUAAGGACGAGAGUUCGAAUCUCUCCACCUCCAUAG